AAACCCACUUAGCAUAAGCUAGGUAUCGCUACGUGAAUACAUAGCGUAGCGAGGCGAACCGGGAGAACUGAAACAUCUAAGUACCCCGAGGAAAAGAAAUCAACCGAGAUUCCCUCAGUAGCGGCGAGCGAACGGGGAUUAGCCCUUAAGCAUCUUGGAAGUUAGUGGAACGGUCCUGGAAAGGCCGGCGAUACAGGGUGAUAGCCCCGUACACGAAAACAACCUUGAUGUGAAAUCGAGUAGGGCGGGACACGUGACAUCCUGUCUGAAUAUGGGGGGACCAUCCUCCAAGGCUAAAUACUCCUGACUGACCGAUAGUGAACCAGUACCGUGAGGGAAAGGCGAAAAGAACCCCUGUGAGGGGAGUGAAAUAGAACCUGAAACCGUGUACGUACAAGCAGUGGGAGCCCUUCGGGGUGACUGCGUACCUUUUGUAUAAUGGGUCAGCGACUUACAUUUUGUAGCGAGGUUAACCGUAUAGGGGAGCCGUAGGGAAACCGAGUCUUAACUGGGCGUCUAGUUGCAAGGUGUAGACCCGAAACCGGGUGAUCUAGCCAUGGGCAGGUUGAAGGUUGAGUAACAUCAACUGGAGGACCGAACCCACUAACGUUGCAAAGUUAGGGGAUGACCUGUGGCUGGGGGUGAAAGGCCAAUCAAACUCGGAGAUAGCUGGUUCUCCCCGAAAGCUAUUUAGGUAGCGCCUCGGACGAAUACUACUGGGGGUAGAGCACUGUUUGGGCUAGGGGGUCAUCCCGACUUACCAACCCCAUGCAAACUCCGAAUACCAGUAAGUAAUAUCCGGGAGACACACGGCGGGUGCUAACGUCCGUCGUGAAGAGGGAAACAACCCAGACCGCCGGCUAAGGUCCCAAAGUUCUGGUUAAGUGGGAAACGAUGUGGGAAGGCUCAGACAGCUAGGAUGUUGGCUUAGAAGCAGCCAUCAUUUAAAGAAAGCGUAAUAGCUCACUAGUCGAGUCGGCCUGCGCGGAAGAUGUAACGGGGCUCAAACCAGGCACCGAAGCCGCGGAUUCACGCUAAGCGUGAGUGGUAGGGGAGCGU
rnacentral:rRNA from 1 species